rnacentral:rRNA from 1 species
GACGAACGCUGGCGGCGUGCUUAACACAUGCAGGUCGAACGGAAAGGCCCUGCUUUUGUGGGGUGCUCGAGUGGCGAACGGGUGAGUAACACGUGAGUAACCUGCCCUUGACUAUGGGAUAACUUCAGGAAACUGGGGCUAAUACCGGAUAGGAGCUCCUGCUGCAUGGUGGGGGUUGGAAAGUUUCGGCGGUUGGGGAUGGACUCGCGGCUUAUCAGCCUGUUGGUGGGGUAGUGGCUUACCAAGGCUUUGACGGGUAGCCGGCCUGAGAGGGUGACCGGCCACAUUGGGACUGAGAUACGGCCCAGACUCCUACGGGAGGCAGCAGUGGGGAAUAUUGCACAAUGGGCGGAAGCCUGAUGCAGCAACGCCGCGUGCGGGAUGACGGCCUUCGGGUUGUAAACCGCUUUCGCCUGUGACGAAGCGUGAGUGACGGUAAUGGGUAAAGAAGCACCGGCUAACUACGUG